rnacentral:rRNA from 1 species
UUGCAGAGGACGUUUCGGGGGAGGCGCCGAUCUAAGUCCGUYGGAACACGGCGUCAUAGAGGGUGAGAAUCCCGUCUGCGACCGGUGACCGACCCCAUAUGAAACCCCUUYGACGAGUCGAGUUGUUUGGGAAUGCAGCUCAAAACGGGUGGUAAAUUUCAUCUAAAGCUAAAUACCGGCUGGAGACCGAUAGCGCACAAGUAGAGUGAUCGAAAGAUGAAAAGCACUUUGGAAAGAGAGUUAAAAAGUACGUGAAAUUGUUGAAAGGGAAGCGCUUGCAACCAGACCUGCCCGUCGGCGAUCAGCCGCCGCUCGCGGUGGUGUAUGCGUCGACGAACAGGCCAGCAUCGGUCCGGACGGUCGGACAAAGGCCUCGGGAACGUAGCUCUCUCCGGGGAGUCUUAUAGCCCGUGGUGCAAUGCGACCAGUCCGGACCGAGGACCGCGCUCCGGCUAGGAUGCUGGCGUAAUGGUUGUCAGCGACCCGUCUUGAAACACGGACCAAGGAGUCUACCAUCUAUGCGAGUGUUUGGGUGUCAAGCCCGUACGCGUAAUGAAAGUGAACGGAGGUGAGAGCCCUCGAGGGUGCAUCAUCGACCGAUCCUGAUGUCUUCGGAUGGAUUUGAGUACGAGCAUUGCUGGUGGGACCCGAAAGAUGGUGAACUAUGCCUGAAUAGGGUGAAGCCAGAGGAAACUCUGGUGGAGGCUCGCAGCGGU